rnacentral:rRNA from 1 species
CCUACGGGUGGCUGCAGUGGGGAAUUUUGCGCAAUGGGCGAAAGCCUGACGCAGCAACGCCGCGUGUGUGAUGAAGGUCUUUGGAUUGUAAAGCACUUUCGACCGGGACGAAAACCCGAAGGCUAACAUCCUUCGGCUUGACGGUACCGGGAGAAGAAGCACCGGCUAACUCUGUGCCAGCAGCCGCGGUAAUACAGAGGGUGCAAGCGUUGUUCGGAAUUAUUGGGCGUAAAGCGCGUGUAGGCGGCUUUGCAAGUCGGGUGUGAAAGCCCUCA